GUCCACGCCCUAAACGAUGUCAACUAGUUGUUGGGGUUAUUAUAACCUCAGUAACGAAGCUAACGCAUGAAGUUGACCGCCUGGGGAGUACGGUCGCAAGAUUAAAACUCAAAGGAAUUGACGGGGACCCGCACAAGCGGUGGAUGAUGUGGAUUAAUUCGAUGCAACGCGAAGAACCUUACCUACCCUUGACAUGUCACUAACGAAGCAGAGAUGCAUAAGGUGCCCGAAAGGGAAAGUGAACACAGGUGCUGCAUGGCUGUCGU
rnacentral:rRNA from 1 species